UUUCUGUUCUUCUUAUAUGAUUUAGGUAUCUUGGACCUGAUCCUGAGCUUUCCAGGCUAUCAUCGAUGGAAAUUCACUGAUGUGCUUAGAAAUAUUCUUAAAGUCUUUGUCAGUCUUUUUUAGGGUUAUCAUUCUUCCACUCUUCUACGUUCAUUCCUUCAAGGGUGCACCUCAGGGUCUGAAGCAGUUGCUUUUCUUUUUCAAACAAAUAAGAGGCAUUCCAGCAUUUUACAUGCUGGCAGUUGCAUUAUAUUUGCUUCCGAAUUUACUAGCAGCUGUUCUGUUUCUUUUCCCAAUGUUAAGGCGUUGGAUUGAAAACUCAAACUGGCACAUAGUCAGAUUCUUCUUCUUAUGGUUGUCUCAGAUCCGCAUGGAUACUCCCAAUGGAAUCAAGGACUCAAUUCCUGCUUGGAUUAAGUUUUAUGUACAGGCUCCUGGUGAAAAUUACAUACAGCUGAAUAUACUAUGAUCCCCCCAGAAGAGUCAUUCAGAAGUCAUAAAAGUUGAUAUUAGCUGGGAAGCAUUGAUCAAACUAGUGCAGUGGUUUUAUUCUGAUGAUCUGCCUAAUCCUCCUUCUGGAUGCUUGUGGGAUAAUAAGGAUGAUGAAGAAAAGCUAUUCAAUCUACAACCAUGUGUGGAGCUUUGUUGGCUUGCUGAGUUCUGGAUUUUGGAAAAUAUUCAGGAAGCCUGCUGGAAUGUGAUUAUGUCUUGUCUUGAUAAUGAACAGUUUUUUAUUGUAUGCAUUUUUAUUCAAAUUCAUACUAUAAAAUUUGGAUGCUAUUAUCGCUUUGAGAAUUAAGGGUUUUGAUGCUAUUAUUGCUUGAAUUUUAUCCCAAUUAAAUUCAUACUAAAAAGUUGGGAUGACGGUUUUGACACAAUUCUUGUAUGAAUUUGAUUCAUACUAUAAAAUCGAGAUGACAUGCUUUGAGAA